rnacentral:lncRNA from 1 species
GGGGGGGGGGGCCCCCCCCCCCCCCGGGGCAGGUACUGGGUGGCCUGCAGACUGGAACCCCCCCCAGGAAAUGGGCAGCCAAGGCUGAGACCUCCGGGGGUGGGCCAUGGGGAAAAAGGACCCUGGCCCCUGGUGGAGGGUGGGGGGGGGGGGGGUGGAGUAUUUUCCAUAUGGGCAACACUCCCGGCGGGCAGGAAAAGACCUGUACAAAGGGGCAGCCUUGGAGGGAUAUUAAAAGAACCACUGUCCAACAGUGUAAAAACACCUGACUACUUCAUGCUUAGAAGAGAAAGUGCUGAGAUUUGGGAUCCCUCUCAAAGCCAAUCAGAUGUGGGGACAAUUCCUAUGAAUUCUAUUUGGGGACAGCAAUGGAAAGAAGAUGAUUGCAGAAGAUCAAACCAGCCUCCCUCAGAACACUGAGGUAUGGCUAUAUAAAUUAACCAAUCUGGUAUUUCCCCCAAGUACUCAAAAAGUAUUUAAGUUUAUGGGUACAAUUUUCUGGAUUCUAAGUUUUCAACUCCUAAUGUUCUCUUAUUGUUGAAUUUGGCAAUUGCUGCUGGAUGGCUUAUUUGGUAGUUCAUGCAGCUAGGUUAACAAUGAACAUGAGAAUGGCAGAUUGGAUGACCAAGUAGGCUCUUUCCUCACAUCAUGAAACACUUGGUUAUAUAGUUUUAACUUGAUAAAAAAAUGUGCUUUCUAAAAAUUUCUGUGUAUUUUGGGCAUGUGGAGACAGUUUCAUUUUAGAGACGAGAUGCCAAAAACUUUUUGCGUUGCCUGCAGGAAUUCAGAGUAGUCUUGUGGAUAAACACUGCAAAGCAAGGGGAUGAUGUGGCUCCCAAUAAGGAAUCAGCAAAAGGUUUUUGAUUUCUAUUUCACGAUAUUUCUGGUAAUGUGCAAGUCUUUAUCAACGUGGUUUACAUUAUUCAGUUCAUUUGAAAGCCAGUAUUUAUGUAGUAAAGACUAUUUGAAGAGCUAAAGGGGAGACGUGUUGAGCUAAAUACAAAGCUUGUAUUAUCUAAUCAUGAGAGGAGAAUUCAAUAGGUUUUAAUUCAUGCUUUUUUAUUAUAAACUGAUAUGAGAAGACAUCCUGGAUUGAUCUGAAACCAACUGAAACAUAUCCUAAAUAAUUUUCAAUAUUUAUAAAAUUUAACAAGUGAAUGAAAAUUACGCAAGGCACAGGUUGUCUAUUUUUACUGCAGUUGACAUUGUUCUGGGACUGUCCAUCCCCUUCUAACUCUGGAGUCU